rnacentral:rRNA from 1 species
UACGAAGGGUGCUAGCGUUGUUCGGAAUUACUGGGCGUAAAGCGCGCGUAGGCGGCUAUUCAAGUCAGGGGUGAAAUCCUUGGGCUCAACCCAAGAAUUGCCUUUGAAACUGUAUAGCUGGAGUGUCGGAGGGGAUAGCGGAAUUGCUAAUGUAGAGGUGAAAUUCGUAGAUAUUAGCAGGAACACCGGUGGCGAAGGCGGCUAUCUGGACGACAACUGACGCUGAGGCGCGAAAGCGUGGGGAUCAAACAGG